rnacentral:rRNA from 1 species
GACAGAGGUGCCGAGCGUUAGGCGGAAUCACUGGGCUUAAAGCGUGUGUAGGCGGACGGGUAAGUACCUUGUGAAAUCCCACGGCUCAACCGUGGAACUGCUGGGUAUACUGCCUGUCUUGAGUCAUCUAGGGGCGAGCGGAACAAAUGGUGGAGCGGUGAAAUGCGUAGAUAUCCGGAGGAACACCGACGGCGUAGGCAGCGCCCUGGAC